AAUACAUUAGUACAUUAUAUUAUGUUAGUGAGAACUCAUGUUAAAAUAGAGUAAACUUAAAUGGCCGGUGCCCGACGAGUUCCUUUUAUCAUAAUGAUUCUCUUCAGAAUACCAGCCUCCCACAGUUCACCUCUCAGAAAGAAGAAAAGGUGAUAAAAAAAAAAAAAAAGGACUCUUAUGCCUUUUAUCCUUUCCUGAAAUGGGACUACAGAUUUUCUCUCAUAACCAAGUAAAUCUCACAGCACAGAAUAUUACCUUCUUUCAAAAUGUAUGAAAAGCAUCCUGCAUAAUCCACAGCUGUCAUGCUCAUUACCUCCAACAGUCCCGUGUUAAAAGGACUGCCAUGCUACUAAUUGGGCUAUGAGACAAUUGGGCUGUUUUCUUUAACAACAACCCCCAACGAGACUGCACACAAAGUUCCCCCCAUACGCUCGUGCUAUCCUCAUCCUGCUUUUUUCUUUUUAGGUGGGCUCCCAUGUCAACAAGAUGGCUGCUUGCCACAAAAGAAUGUACAGAAGACAUUUAUUUUGUCUGUGAAGAAAGGAAAAUUCUAAGUUAUUCUUCUCAAGGAAAGGAAAGAAAAGCAAUAUUACUCCAUGUCUAUUUUAAUUUGUUUUCAGGCCCAAUUUUAUAGGAAAAACACCUCAGUGGAUGCGACAUUUAAGGGUGGUGGAGUGGUGUGGGGCAUGCAGGGUUUUGUUUAUGGGUGUUGAAAACAAGUAUUCUUGUAGGACUCUUAAUGCAAAUUGAACUGAACAAAUCCCUUCGGCUUUUCAAUACAAAGUGAAGUGGAAAACUGGUGGUUACCUGGCUAAUAUGAUCUAAUAUGAUCAGUGUUGACAGUUACUACAGAUAAUUUGCCUCAAAGUGGAUUUUUGGAGCUGGAUUACAUAAAUUAGCUGUCUAUGCUGAUUAAAUUAACUGGAUUAUCGUCAAAACUCUGCAUCACCCUGUACAAAGAAAUAGCAUUCUAGUGAGCAAACAUGGAUAAUAGUUUGAGAUAUUUUCACCACCAAUGAACUGGCAAAAUAAGCUUUUAAACAUAACUGAACUUCUACAACUUAAAAACAAACUGGAAAGGACAUUCAGCUGCACCAAAAGAGGCAUUAGCAUACAGGUAUCAUCUUUAUUAAUAUGCAGGCAAAUCAUAGAUUUCAUGAUAUCUAUUAAAGGCCAUGUAGAACUUAAAUGACCUCAAACUUAACUGGGGCCCAAAGUGCUGGCACAUUUGUUCAUCCUCAUUUAUCUUAAUGUCGCCUGAAUAAUUUGAUCAAAUUCCUGUGACUUUGAUAUGCAGAUGAGCUAUGAAAAUUAUGCCAAGUAAAAAUGUAAAUUCAGCCCAAUUUAUAAUUGUUCAAAUUUUACAUUCUUUAAUCUUUUUCAAGUAUCAUAAAGCUACAAAUGCCAGACAUCAUAAAAAAUUACUUAAAAUGGGGAGUGCUUACUAUUCACAAACACAUCAAGGAAUUUUUCUUUAAUCAGGUCAAAAUAAAGUAUUUUCUAACACUGAUAUAUUGAAUGAUGAAACAGAGUCCUUUGAGGAUUAAAUGAAGUAGUGGGGAAAAUAAAGAGAAAAUGGUCAAAAUUAAUGAUUCCCCAUAACUCUUUUCUUAUUGAGUAAUCCAGUAGAUUCCUGAGUUGCCAGCCAUAGUCAUUAUAUGUCUAUUUUGAUAAGGCUUUCUUUUAGGCUGGAGGUGCACACAGCACAAUUAGCAAAGGGAGAUUCUUCUUGCUCACUUCCUUCUUCUCUCCUAUUUCCCCCUUUCUACCUAGAUGUACAUUCACUAUGGUCUGAGUCUAAUGUAACGGCAGAGACAGACAUCUCCCUUGAGCUGAGCUGCAGGAAAAGAGGGAUUGUUACUACUAAGAGUGGGGAUCUAUCUGCACCAAAGGGGGCCACAUGUGGCAUCUCAGAAAAAGGAACAACCUACACUGUCUCAAAGUUACAGGAUUGUUUGUGGGAAUGCAGCCUGCUGUGCCAGGAAAAUACCAGGCAGACAUGGAAGUGGAGGACCCAGCAAUAAGGGAGGGAGACAGAUGAGUAGUCACGUCACAUAGCUUAAUGGAGGACUUCCACUUUAGGAAAAUAGAGGGAAAGAGAACCAAGAGAAAGACAGCAGUUUACAAGAAACAAAGUAAAAUAGUAACUUUGGACAGAUCGUGGGGAACUAAAGGAAAUUACUAUACCACCUACUUGCAAAAUCCG
rnacentral:lncRNA from 1 species